rnacentral:lncRNA from 1 species
ACAGGGCUAUAAAAGCAAAAGUUGUGGCCUGUCCAUCAGGAGUUAGCGACAGGGAGGGCUGCUGGCUUGGGUUUAGUGGUGGGGAGGAAGUGGCCAGUUUAGGGCCUCAGGGGACAGAUGGAGGAGAUGACAGAAGGGUUGCGACCCCGCGUGGGGAUGAGGCCUGGUCUUGUGGAAACUGAACUUAGCUUCGCGGGGCUGACAGCUCUGGUCCAGGGUGGUGGCAGUGCUCCCCUUUGGACUUUUCCUCUAGGUUCCGUGCUAACUUCUGUGAUCCCACUCUGCCCCUCCUCCUCUUAACUUUCUCGAGGUUAUCCAUUCGCUUAAAACAUUGCCUCUGGUAACCCGAGUGUUCAUCGUGGUGAUCAGAUGGCACCCGGGAGAAACGGAGCCCCCGGCCAGUGUGAGUCGUAGCAGUGCAGGAGGGGAGACCCUGAAGGAGAGAGCCCGCCUAAAUUGCUGUCUGCAGAUGGAAUUUCCAGAGGCUUAGGAGAUGGAAGUUCUCCAGUGUCCGGUUUCCAGGCCUUGCUCAGGAAGUCCUGUAUUCAGGAGGCCUUUUAAGGUUUUCAGAUGAGCUUAUGUGGGGGCAGUCAUUAAGUCCAAAGCAGGUGCAUCGGGCCAUCCGCAGAUGUGUGCUUCGAUUGUUCGAUCCAGGAGCACCGACCUCCAGGCACGUGAAUGCCAGCAGGCACCCCUCCUUUUCUGGGGUGGAGGUUUUCAGAUGCUGCAUCUUCUAAAUUGAGCCUCCCGUCAUAACUGGUUCUGGGCUACGAACGUUGCUUCGAGAAGAUUCUUGAAGCUGUAGGACAUUCUAACAUGCCACUACGCAGAGGGAUGCCUUGUAGAUGAAUCUUGCAGAUGGAGCCCAGGGACCCGCCUGCCCGCUGCCUGCCUGCCUCCCUGUGCAUUGGUCGGAGUUAUUAGUGUGAUUGUCUUAACCUGUAUUUUGGGAAAGUGUUCACAUUUGAA